rnacentral:rRNA from 1 species
GAUGAACGCUAGCGGCAGGCCUAAUACAUGCAAGACGAACGGUGAGUUGAGUAGCAAUACUUAGCCAAGAGUGUCGUACGGGUGCGUAACACGUAUGCAACCUACCCUAUACAGGAGGAUAGCCUAGGGAAACCUGGAUUAACCCUUCAUAGUAUUAUUGGAUGGCAUCAUUUGAUAAUUAAAACUGAGGUGGUAUAGGAUGGGCAUGCGUCUGAUUAGUUAGUUAGCGGGGUAAUGGCCCACCAAGACGAUGAUCAGUAGGGGUUCUGAGAGGAAGAUCCCCCACACUGGCACUGAGAUACGGGCCAGACUCCUACGGGAGGCAGCAGUAGGGAAUAUUGGUCAAUGGAUGCAAGUCUGAACCAGC